rnacentral:rRNA from 1 species
CAUGUAGGCGGUCAAGCAAGUGUGGAUUUAAAGGCGCAGGCUCAACCUGUUGCAUGGUCUGCAAACUGUUUGACUUGAGUUUGAGAUGGGAGACUGGAAUUCCACGUGUAGGGGUGAAAUCUGUAGAGAUGUGGGAGAAUACCGGCGGCGAAGGCGAGUCUCUGGCUUGAAACUGACGCUGAGAUGCGAAAGUGGUGGGGAGCGAACA